GCCGGCUUAGCUCAGUUGGUAGAGCAGCGCACUUGUAAUGCGAAGGUCGAGGGUUCAACUCCUUUAGCCGGCA
rfam:Paenalcaligenes hominis strain 15S00501, complete genome.